rnacentral:rRNA from 1 species
CCUACGGGGGGCAGCAGUAGGGAAUAUUGCGCAAUGGGGGAAACCCUGAAGCAGCAACGCCGCGUGGAGGAUGAAGGUUUUCGGAUUGUAAACUCCUGUUAUUAGAGAAGAUAAUGACGGUAUCUAACGAAUAAGCACCGGCUAACUCCGUGCCAGCAGCCGAGGUAAUACGGAGGGUGCAAGGGUUACUCGGAAUUACUGGGCGUAAAGGGCGCGUAGGCGGGUUAGCAAGUCAGAUGUGAAAUCCUAUGGCUUAACCAUAGAACUGCAUUUGAAACUGGUAUUCUAGAGUAUGGGAGAGGUAGGUGGAAUUCUUGGUGUAGGGGUAAAAUCCGUAGAGAUCAAGAGGAAUACUCAUUGCGAAGGCGACCUGCUAGAACAUAACUGACGCUGAUGCGCGAAAGCGUGGGGAGCAAACAGGAUUAGAUACCCCGGUAGUC